GCUCACUUUGACAGUGCAUAUACUAAAAUUGGAACAAUAUAGGGAAGAUAGCAUGGCCCCUGUAGAAGGAUGACAUGCAAAUUGGUAAAGUGUUCCAUAUUUAA